GCUCGUGCGCAUCCCCUCCUUCACUCACCUCUCCUCACAGACAGCACGAGCUCAUCCCUAAAAACAGCAUGGGCGCGAGGAGGAGCAUCAGCUGCAGGGCGUGUACAGUUACAGUCACAUGGUUCUGCCUCCUGGUCCGUGUGGGCUCCUCCCCUCUGUCCUCGGUGGUCCACACCUGGUCAGGUGUUGGUCUGCAGGCUGUGCUGCCGUGUACCUGGGGGACGCAGGUAUCGGACAGGCCCCGGUCUCCGUAUAUCCAGUGGGAGACGCUGACCCACACGGUGUUUGAGCGAAUGGGGGAGCGGAUGUUUCAGGGCGAGUCCUUCAGGAACCGGGUGGACGUCCCGCUGGAGAUCCUGGACGAGGGGAACUGCUCGCUCUUCUUCAGGGACGUCCAGUUCAGCGACGCCGGGAUCUACGAGAGUUACCUGGUGGUGGGAGAGAACCAGGUGCAGCGGAGGAUCUUCCUCCAGAGCGUCCAGCUGCUGGUGUUCGAUCAUAAGCUGGAGCAGCGGGUGGAGGCGGGUAAAGACCUGGUUCUGGAUCUGUACACCGCCCACGCUCACACGCUGGUGUUCGAGAGCGUGAUCACGCCCGGGUGGGCGGAGCUCUGGCAGCGAGGGAAAGCCAGGAACCGGGACUCUCGCCUGCAGGAGAACGAGGACAGCCUGGUGAUCAGGGGCGUCCAGCCCGGAGACAGCGGGACAUACAGGGUGGUGGACUCGGACGGUCUCGCCCUGAGCACCGUCAAAAUCACCGUCACCGAUCCUGUUCCAACUAAAUCUACAGUGGUGCAGGAAAAGCAGCUCUCUGUGGGAAGUGGGGGUGUGGUCAGUCCUGUCCUGGACGUGACGCUCUCCGCGAUGCUGUGGACGCUGGUGAUAUUUGUCCUGUGAGGUGAUGCUGAAGGUGCUGCUGCUCCGGUCGGGGAUGUUCUGGAUGGGCGGAGCAGAUCAGCACCUGUACUGAUUUCUCUCAGGGUGGGCGUGGCCCUGUCUCUCACUUCCUGUAAGGCAGUGUGGGCGGGGCCAGGCCUUCCCCAGGUGCGGGAGCAUUGAGUAGUAGGUGAGACUCUGAGAGUCUGAUGCUCCUGCCCUUCAUUUACUCAACUCCUCUGUGGGGUGGAGUCAGAUCCGUAACCCUGUUCUGAUACAGGGAUGAUCCUGAAGAUGAUCCCAGUGUCUUCAGACGAGUAGUAAAGGAUGAGUAGUAGAACGAAGGUCUGUCACCAUUACUGUUACUGUUUAUACCAUACAGUAUACUGUCCAAGAAAGAAUAGCGAAAUAAAACAAUAAUAUUGCAUUUUAUGACCAAAUUAUGCCAAAAAUGCAAUUAAUAAAUACAGUAAAUAAUAAUUGGAGACAUUGGAAUAUUCAGGAAUUUAAUAUAUUAAUAUUUUAAUCACCCUAAUUAAAUAAAAGCUAAAUAAAUUUAGAAAAGACAAAAAAAAUGGCUCAUUCACAUUAAAAGCUAUUGAGUUUAUGUCCAUAUAUUGUACGAUUAUUCAGUAAAUUCAGUAAUUUAAGUUAAUAACAUAAUUAUGGUGACAGGCCGAGUAUCCUGCUACUGUUUCUAUGGGUUUUGCUGUUUUUUCUCACUUCUAAAAAACACGUUUCUGUAUGUUUGAAUCUGUUUGAAGGGCUUUUUUAUUUAGCACUCUGAUUCUAAAAACCAUCACUACUGCUAAAUUCAGGAGGUAAAAAAACUGUCUUUAUACUAAAUUACUGAUAGCAUGUUUUCUCUUUUCAUGCUCUUAAAGGUGUGGAAUAUGGAGCUAGACUACUGUUCAUUUCUUCUAUUAAAUAUUCCUCUCUGUUAAACUUUUAGGAAUGGUUUUAGGAAAUAAGCCUAGUCCUAAAGGACACAGCAUUUACGAAUAGAAAAUCUCUAUUAAAAUAUAAUAUACCAUAUUUUUCGGACUAUAAGGCUUUAUAGCUUACCGUGCUAAAAGUCGUACUAAAACAUUUUUUGCUAGAUUUUUAAAAAUUAGCACUGUCGAUUUUUAAAAUUAAAGAGU